rnacentral:rRNA from 1 species
GUGAGGAAUUUUGCGCAAUGGGGGCAACCCUGACGCAGCGACGCCGCGUGGAGGACGAAGUCUUUCGGGAUGUAAACUCCUGUCAGUGGGGACGAUAAUGACGGUACCCACAGAGGAAGCACCGGCUAACUCCGUGCCAGCAGCCGCGGUAAGACGGAGGGUGCAAGCGUUGUUCGGACUUACUGGGCGUAAAGCGUAUGUAGGCGGCAAGUUAAGUGCAAUGUUAAAGCCCACGGCUCAACCGAGGAGAUGCAUUGAAUACUGGCUAGCUAGAGGGUGUUAGAGGAAGACGGAAUUCCCAGUGUAGCGGUGAAAUGCGUAGAUAUUGGGAGGAACAUCGGUAGCGAAAGCGGUCUUCUGGGACAUACCUGACGCUGAGGUACGAAAGCGUGGGGAGCAAACGGGAUUAGAAACCCUGGUAGUCC